AGAACGUGUAUCUGUAUAUAAAUAAUUUAUCAAAUACUUUUUCUCUUUGUGUCUAUAUGUGUUAGUGUUUUUAAAGCUGCUCAUUUCAUUUUAUCCAAGCAAAAAGAAAAGGGAGAUAAUGAGCUUCUAGUGAUGUUCAAUAUUGCUGUUAAUAGGCAUUAUACCCUGCAAGUUCACUGCAUGUCUGAUGCUUGGUACAAUUAGAUUGUCCUGUUAACUGCAGAUUACAGGUAUUAAAGCAAUCUAUUGGUAUACCCGCCCCUUGCCUUAGUAAGAGGAGCAGUGAAAAUGUAUAUAGUUGAUGUUCAGUAUUUCCAAGUACUACCGUUUUUAUAUAGUAAUUUCUUUGAUCACAAGUCACCCAUAAAAAGAUUACCCUUAGUGUACCUGGGUGUUUUAAUAAUAGAAAAAUUGGCAUAUGUACUUUAUUUUUGAAAAGGAAGAGAUUAGUGUGGGUUGGCAAUAGCAUUAUGCCAUUUUGUCAUAGGUUGUAAAAAAUCGGUUAACUUCACAAAUGUCUGCUAGUUUUGACUAACAGUUGGGGGAAAUUCUAGAUAAUUUUUAAAUUCAAAGUUAUUUAUACAAUGCUAGGACUUGUUUUAAAUUUUUGUAUUUUGAGCCAGUUCACAUGAAGACUCAGUUGCAAUUUUUGUCUAAUACACUUUUAUCAACAUUUAAAAAGUGGUAGUUUUCUCAGAGUUUGGAUAAGAAUGUUGUUACCAUGUCUUUCUUUGUGGUACAAUAUUCUUUUCAGUGCAAAGAAAUGUCUCUCAAUUAAAUAGACAAAAAUACCCUAGAUGUAUAAUUACAUGGAAAACAUUUGCAAUGAAAAUGGUGUAGUACUAAUUAUUUCAUAGAACCACUUAAGUCUAUAACUCAGAAAUGGCCAGGUGGUGAGGAGCCACCUAUGCAGCAUUGUAUCAUCUGUUUAAUUACUUUGUAGGUUCUGAGUGUAGAAUCAGUUUAACUCAGCUUUACAGUUGUGGAGGAGGCAAACUUUCUCAGAAUAGUUCAUAUCAGCUUCAUUGGAUACUUUUAGCAAAUAGCAACUUAAUUCUCAGCUCUGAACAUGAAUUACUUCUUUGGAGUUUUUUUGUAGGAAUUUGAAAUAUUAAUAGGCAUAAAGCAACAUCAUUACACUUAAGCUAUGAAUGUUUUUAUUUUAUAUUUUAUUUAUAACUGUGCCAAGUAUUAUUUUGCUACUUACUGUGUUACUCUGUGGAAAGAAAAACCUGUAAAGUGUUUAAUAAUUAGUUCUCCUUACAUAAAUUAAAUGUCAAAAUUUUGUAAAAUAUUAAUCAGA
ensembl:lncRNA